CUUGAAUACCAGAUAGAGUUACUUAUCUUUAGCUCAUAAGACAGAAUUAUCUCUAAGGCACUAUGCAUCACCUAGGUAAAUAUAAUUAAUGAUUAAUUUUACAUCUAAGGAAAGCACUUAUUAUUAUUCAAAACUCAAGCAUUUGAAGGGUUUCAAAGUUUGUGGGGCCCACUCAAAGUUUCAUUAUUCAAAAAAAUCUACAUGAAGGAUAGAACACC
rnacentral:lncRNA from 1 species